rnacentral:rRNA from 1 species
CCUACGGGAGGCAGCAGUAGGGAAUUUUCGGCAAUGGGCGGAAGCCUGACCCAGCAACGCCGCGUGAACGAAGAAGGCAUUCGGAAUGUAAAGUUCUUUUUACAGGGAAGAAAGAGACAUCUGACGGUACCUGAUGAAUAAGCUCCGGCUAACUACGUGCCAGCAGCCGCGGUCAUACGUAGGGAGCGAGCGUUAUCCGGAAUUAUUGGGCGUAACGGGUGCGAGGAGGGCAUAGUAAGUCUUUGGUAAAAAUGCUGGGCUAAACCCAGUAGGGCAAAACAUACUGCAAAGCUAGAGGAUGGCAGAGGCAAGUGGAAUUACAGGUGUAGCGGGAAAAUGCGUAGAUAUAUGUAAGAACACCAGUGGCGAAGGCGGCUUGCUGGGUCGAUACUGACGUUGAGGCACGAAAGCGUGGGGAGCAAACAGGAUUAGAUACCCGAGUAGUC